rnacentral:rRNA from 1 species
UACAGAGGGGGCAAGCGUUGUUCGGAAUUACUGGGCGUAAAGGGCGCGUAGGCGGCCAGCACAGGUCAGUUGUGAAAUCUCCGAGCUUAACUCGGAAAGGUCAACUGAUACUGUGCGGCUAGAGUGCGGAAGGGGCAACUGGAAUUCUUGGUGUAGCGGUGAAAUGCGUAGAUAUCAAGAGGAACACCUGCGGCGAAGGCGGGUUGCUGGGCCGACAUUGACGCUGAUGCGCGAAAGCUAGGGGAGCGAACGGG